rnacentral:rRNA from 1 species
AGCGGCGGACGGGUGAGUAAUGCUUAGGAAUCUGCCUAUUAGUGGGGGACAACAUUCCGAAAGGAAUGCUAAUACCGCAUACGUCCUACGGGAGAAAGCAGGGGACCUUCGGGCCUUGCGCUAAUAGAUGAGCCUAAGUCGGAUUAGCUAGUUGGUGGGGUAAAGGCCUACCAAGGCGACGAUCUGUAGCGGGUCUGAGAGGAUGAUCCGCCACACUGGGACUGAGACACGGCCCAGACUCCUACGGGAGGCAGCAGUGGGGAAUAUUGGACAAUGGGGGGAACCCUGAUCCAGCCAUGCCGCGUGUGUGAAGAAGGCCUUUUGGUUGUAAAGCACUUUAAGCGAGGAGGAGGCUACUAGUAUUAAUACUACUGGAUAGUGGACGUUACUCGCAGAAUAAGCACCGGCUAACUCUGUGCCAGCAGCCGCGGUAAUACAGAGGGUGCGAGCGUUAAUCGGAUUUACUGGGCGUAAAGCGUGCGUAGGCGGCUGAUUAAGUCGGAUGUGAAAUCCCUGAGCUUAACUUAGGAAUUGCAUUCGAUACUGGUCAGCUAGAGUAUGGGAGAGGAUGGUAGAAUUCCAGGUGUAGCGGUGAAAUGCGUAGAGAUCUGGAGGAAUACCGAUGGCGAAGGCAGCCAUCUGGCCUAAUACUGACGCUGAGGUACGAAAGCAUGGGGAGCAAACAGGAUUAGAUACCCUGGUAGUCCAUGCCGUAAACGAUGUCUACUAGCCG